rnacentral:lncRNA from 1 species
CCCCCCCGGGGCCGCCCCGCAGCGAGCGCGGCCACCGCCGGGCGCCAGCCCCGCACCGCCAUCGGGCAACGGCGGCGCCGCCGCUCCGGUUCCGCCCCCGGGCCCGCCCCGCAGCCCCGGGAAGCCGGGGGGGGGGGGGCAGGAGGCGGCAGGGAGCCGUGUUUCGCCCGGUGCUGCGGGGCGUGUGCCCGAGGGGGCGUGUUCUCCCCGGCUCUGAGCCCAAUUCGGAGUCACUCCCCGACUUUAAACUGAAUUCGGAGUCGCUCCGGUUUGUUGCAGCGAGCGAUUCGCAGUCUGCCCCGGAGCUCUGUCGAGCACCCGCAGUUUCCACCCUUCCCUGGUUGCCCCGCGUCAGGAGGCAAAAGCCCCUGGGCAGGGUGCGGGGGGCAGCACCCCGAGCGAUGAAAAACGCCCGUGACAAAGGGAGUUUCGCAAAGGCCACCACCGCAGAUUCCUGUUCCCAGGCCAGGAGCGGGUGUCUCAGAGGCACCGCUGACACAACCCUCGCCAUGCUGGGAAGAGUCCCCGCUGCUGGGAGUUUCCGAGCUUACCGCGAGUGCUAUAAGACGGGCACGGGCUGUGCAGAAGCCCAGGAGCUUGCGCAUGAGCCCAUGCGCUGAGGCUAUGCUGCGAGCUGCGGCGUGCGGCCCUUUUCCUUCGACCUUCUACCCACACAAGCCAGCGUUGCUUCGGACUUCAAUUCGCACCAGCAAAACCCGGAGAUCCCAAACUCGGGUGAGUACAUGGGGCACUCCUGGGGACCAGGGGCUGUGCAGGUGAAGCUAUCAAACAGGCACAGGAGAAAUGCCUCUCGUUAGGAGCCGGCCUGUCCUGCACCUGGGUUAACGCUGGGGGAAGCAGAGGAAGGGAAAAAGUCCUCCUCCGGGGGGGUUUACAGUUCCUCCUCCAGGCAGGAGGGGUUGCAAGGAUCCUAACACCUGAGUUUCGCUUGCUUAGCCCAGGGUGGGCAGAGGGAAAGUGGUGGAGCGUGCUGACACCAGCCCCGCGGUGGGGUACUAUCUGAAACGGUGCGCUCCGGAGAGCUGUGACAGCAGCACAGGCCCAGCCCCUGGUGCUAACGUUCUCGCACACUUUUCUUUCAGAAAGCA